GAUGAAGAACGUAGCGAAAUGCGAUAAGUAAUGUGAAUUGCAGAGUUCAGUGAAUCAUCGAAUCUUUGAACGCACAUUGCGCCCGCCAGUAUUCUGGCGGGCAUGCCUGUUCGAGCGUCAUUUCAACCAUCAAGCCCCAGGCUUGUGUUGGGGACCUGCGGCUGCCGCAGGCCCUGAAAACCAGUGGCGGGCUCGCUGUCACACCGGGCGUAGUAGAUUUUAUCUCGCUCAGGGCGUGCUGCGGGUUCCGGCCGUUAAAAAGCCUUUUUUACCCAAGGUUGACCUCGGAUCAGGUAGGAAGACCCGCUGAACUUAAGCAUAUCAAUAAGCGGAGGA
rnacentral:misc_RNA from 1 species